UGCAUGCUUAUCACGACCAGGUAGCCG
rnacentral:piRNA from 1 species